GAUGAACGCUAGCGGCAGGCCUAACACAUGCAAGUCGAGGGGUAGCAGGAUUAAGCUUGCUUAAUUGCUGACGACCGGCGCACGGGUGCGUAACGCGUAUGCAACCUACCUUAUACUGGGGUAUAGCCCGGAGAAAUUCGGAUUAAUCCCCCAUAGUACUAAUGAAUCGCAUGGUUUAUUAGUUAAAGCAUUGCGGUAUAAGAUGGGCAUGCGUCCUAUUAGCUAGAUGGUGAGGUAACGGCUCACCAUGGCUACGAUAGGUAGGGGGCCUGAGCGGGGGUUCCCCCACACUGGUACUGAGACACGGACCAGUCCACUACGGGAGGCAGAAGUGAGGAAUAUUGGUCAAUGGGCGCAAGCCUGAACCAGCCAUGCCGCGUGCAGGAAGAAUGCCCUAUGGGUUGUAAACUGCUUUUAUUUGGGAAUAAACCUCUUUACGUGUAGAGAGCUGAAGGUACCAAAUGAAUAAGCACCGGCUAACUCCGUGCCAGCCGCCGCCGUAA
rnacentral:rRNA from 1 species